GUGUCAGCAGCCGCGGUAAGACAGAGGUCCCAAGCGUUAGGCGGAAUCACUGGGCUUAAAGCGUGUGUAGGCGGAUGUGCAAGUACCUUGUGAAAUCCCACGGCUUAACCGUGGAACUGCUUGGUAUACUGCAUGUCUUGAGGCAUCUAGAGGUAACUGGAACAAACGGUGGAGCGGUGAAAUGCGUAGAUAUCGUUUGGAACGCCUAAGGUGAAAACAGGUUACUGGGGAUGUUCUGACGCUGAGACACGAAAGCCAGGGGAGCAAACGGGAUUAGAAACCCCCGUAGUCC
rnacentral:rRNA from 1 species